AGUGGCGGUCGGGUGAGUAACGCGUAAGAAUCUAACUUCAGGACGGGGACAACAGUUGGAAACGACUGCUAAUACCCGAUGUGCCGCAAGGUGAAACCUAAUUGGCCUGGAGAAGAGCUUGCGUCUGAUUAGCUAGUUGGUGGGGUAAAGGCCUACCAAGGCGACGAUCAGUAGCUGGUCUGAGAGGAUGAGCAGCCACACUGGGACUGAGACACGGCCCAGACUCCUACGGGAGGCAGCAGUGGGGAAUUUUCCGCAAUGGGCGAAAGCCUGACGGAGCAACGCCGCGUGAGGGAGGAAGGUCUUUGGAUUGUAAACCUCUUUUCUCAAGGAAGAAGUUCUGACGGUACUUGAGGAAUCAGCCUCGGCUAACUCCGUGCCAGCAGCCGCGGUAAUACGGGGGAGGCAAGCGUUAUCCGGAAUUAUUGGGCGUAAAGCGUCCGCAGGUGGUCAGCCAAGUCUGCCGUCAAAUCAGGUUGCUUAACGACCUAAAGGCGGUGGAAACUGGCAGACUAGAGAGCAGUAGGGGUAGCAGGAAUUCCCAGUGUAGCGGUGAAAUGCGUAGAGAUUGGGAAGAACAUCGGUGGCGAAAGCGUGCUACUGGGCUGUAUCUGACACUCAGGGACGAAAGCUAGGGGAGCGAAAGGGAUUAGAUACCCCUGUAGUCCUAGCCGUAAACGAUGGACACUAGGCGUGGCUU
rnacentral:rRNA from 1 species